rnacentral:rRNA from 1 species
AACGAACGCUGGCGGCAUGCCUAACACAUGCAAGUCGAACGAGACCUUCGGGUCUAGUGGCGCACGGGUGCGUAACGCGUGGGAACCUGCCCUUAGGUUCGGAAUAACUCCCCGAAAGGGGUGCUAAUACCGGAUAAUGUCUUCGGACCAAAGAUUUAUCGCCUUUGGAUGGGCCCGCGUUGGAUUAGCUAGUUGGUAGGGUAAAAGCCUACCAAGGCGACGAUCCAUAGCUGGUCUGAGAGGAUGAUCAUCCACACUGGGACUGAGACACGGCCCAGACUCCUACGGGAGGCAGCAGUGGGGAAUAUUGGACAAUGGGCGAAAGCCUGAUCCAGCAAUGCCGGGUGAGUGAUGAAGGCCGUAGGGUUGUAAAGCUCUUUUACCCGGGAUGAUAAUGACAGUACCGGGAGAAUAAGCACCGGCUAACUCCGUG